UACGGAGGGUGCGAGCGUUGUCCGGAAUCAUUGGGCGUAAAGGGCGCGUAGGUGGCCCGGUCAGUUCGUGGUGAAAGCGCGGGGCUCAACCCUGCGUCGGCCAUGAAUACUGCCGCGGCUGGAGCACUGUAGAGGCAGGCGGAAUUCCGGGUGUAGCGGUGGAAUGCGUAGAGAUCCGGAGGAACACCGAUGGCGAAGGCAGAUCUCUGGGCCGUAACUGACGCUGAGGAGCGAAAGUGUGGGGAGCGAACGA
rnacentral:rRNA from 1 species